rnacentral:rRNA from 1 species
UACAGAGGGUGCAAGCGUUAAUCGGAAUUACUGGGCGUAAAGCGUGCGUAGACGGUAGCGUAAGUCGGGUGUGAAAGCCCCGGGCUCAACCUGGGAAUUGCAUUCGAGACUGCUCUGCUAGGGUGCGGAAGAGGGAAGCGGAAUUUCCGGUGUAGCGGUGAAAUGCGUAGAUAUUCGCAAGAACACCAGUGGCGAAGGCGGCUCACUGGCCCGGUACUGACGCUGAGGUGCGAAAGCGUGGGGAGCAAACAGG